rnacentral:rRNA from 1 species
GAGAGUUUGAUCCUGGCUCAGAUUGAACGCUGGCGGCAGGCCUAACACAUGCAAGUCGAGCGGUAGCACAGAGAGCUUGCUCUCGGGUGACGAGCGGCGGACGGGUGAGUAAUGUCUGGGAAACUGCCUGAUGGAGGGGGAUAACUACUGGAAACGGUAGCUAAUACCGCAUAACGUCGCAAGACCAAAGUGGGGGACCUUCGGGCCUCAUGCCAUCAGAUGUGCCCAGAUGGGAUUAGCUUGUAGGUGAGGUAACGGCUCACCUAGGCGACGAUCCCUAGCUGGUCUGAGAGGAUGACCAGCCACACUGGAACUGAGACACGGUCCAGACUCCUACGGGAGGCAGCAGUGGGGAAUAUUGCACAAUGGGCGCAAGCCUGAUGCAGCCAUGCCGCGUGUGUGAAGAAGGCCUUCGGGUUGUAAAGCACUUUCAGCGGGGAGGAAGGCGGUGAGGUUAAUAACCUCAUCGAUUGACGUUACCCGCAGAAGAAGCACCGGCUAACUCCGUGCCAGCAGCCGCGGUAAUACGGAGGGUGCAAGCGUUAAUCGGAAUUACUGGGCGUAAAGCGCACGCAGGCGGUCUGUCAAGUCGGAUGUGAAAUCCCCGGGCUCAACCUGGGAACUGCAUUCGAAACUGGCAGGCUAGAGUCUUGUAGAGGGGGGUAGAAUUCCAGGUGUAGCGGUGAAAUGCGUAGAGAUCUGGAGGAAUACCGGUGGCGAAGGCGGCCCCCUGGACAAAGACUGACACUCAGGUGCGAAAGCGUGGGGAGCAAACAGGAUUAGAUACCCUGGUAGUCCACGCUGUAAACGAUGUCGAUUUGGAGGUUGUGCCCUUGAGGCGUGGCCUCCGGAGCUAACGCGUUAAAUCGACCGCCUGGGGAGUACGGCCGCAAGGUUAAAACUCAAAUGAAUGGACGGGGGCCCGCACAAGCGGUGGAGCAUGUGGUUUAAUUCGAUGCAACGCGAAGAACCUUACCUGGUCUUGACAUCCACAGAACUUUCCAGAGAUGGAUUGGUGCCUUCGGGAACUGUGAGACAGGUGCUGCAUGGCUGUCGUCAGCUCGUGUUGUGAAAUGUUGGGUUAAGUCCCGCAACGAGCGCAACCCUUAUCCUUUGUUGCCAGCGGUUAGGCCGGGAACUCAAAGGAGACUGCCAGUGAUAAACUGGAGGAAGGUGGGGAUGACGUCAAGUCAUCAUGGCCCUUACGGCCAGGGCUACACACGUGCUACAAUGGCAUAUACAAAGAGAAGCGACCUCGCGAGAGCAAGCGGACCUCAUAAAGUAUGUCGUAGUCCGGAUUGGAGUCUGCAACUCGACUCCAUGAAGUCGGAAUCGCUAGUAAUCGUAGAUCAGAAUGCUACGGUGAAUACGUUCCCGGGCCUUGUACACACCGCCCGUCACACCAUGGGAGUGGGUUGCAAAAGAAGUAGGUAGCUUAACCUUCGGGAGGGCGCUUACCACUUUGUGAUUCAUGACUGGGGUGAAGUCGUAACAAGGUAGCCGUAGA